rnacentral:tRNA from 1 species
UAGUUCAGUUGGUAGAGCAUGGCGCUUGCAACGCCAGGGUUGUGGGUUCUAUUCCCAC